rnacentral:lncRNA from 12 species
AAAGAACUCACCCUGCCCACACCUUGAUCUUGACUUCCAACCUCCAGAGCAGUGAGGCAAUGGAGCCACCCAAGAGGCUCCGGCAGCAGGCUUCUCUCCAGGCCGCUGCAGCAAGGCCGCCAACCACAGACCUGGCUGCAACGAGAGCUCAGCCUUCGUCGGGUCCAAUCAACGAGCCAAGGGCAAGGGGUCUGCACCCUUAAGAGUGACAAGUUCCUGUCGUACCACCCAAACACAGGCUUUGUGCAACUCUGUUAAGUGUGAAGACUGUUCUCUUUGCCUUGACUGAUUCCUUUACUCCAUUCCUUUGUCUGGUGGCCUCUACCUUUCCUUCCCCAGCAAGGCCAUUGCCAAUCGCUUCUUCUUUGAUGCCGGUGAUGGAAUCUUUCACUCCUCUCUGGUGACAUCCCUUUCCACUGAAUAGAGAGAAAGUCCACCAUCAUCACGGUCACCAUCAACCUUACACCAUCAUAACCAGACACACCACCACCACCAACGUCCCUCUCCACCUCUGUCAUCACCAACAUCUUUCUUCUCAGGGGUCAUCCCGUCAGCUGGCAUUCAGGGAAUAGUCUGAGUAGGACAUUCUGCUCAGAGUGGACCUCAUAAUUCUGGUACAAGGUAAGUGCUAUUAUUGCCUCCAUUUCAUUGAUAAAGAAACUGAGGCACAGAAGGGUGAAGUAACUUACUCAAGGUUAUAUGAGGGUCUGAGUCUCUUGAUUCCAUUGGAUAAGGGAAGAGUCAGUUUCCUUUAUGGCUUAGUUUGAAUAUCCUCCUCUCAUUUGGACUAAGUUUUCAAAGAAAGAUCAGCUAUAAUAAUAUGACCUAGGCUCUUGGCUUUUUUUUUUAAUUUAUUUUUUAUUGGUGUUCAAUUUACUAACAUACAGAAUAACCCCCAGUGCCCGUCACUCAUUCACUCCCACCCCCCGCCUUCCUCCCCUUCUACCACCCCUAGUUCGUUUCCCAGAGUUGGCUUUUAAAGUAUAGUCUCUCAACAGCAGCAGCAGCAGCAGAGUCUGAGCUCUUAAUGUAAAUACUGAUUCUCAAGCCCCGACCCCACCCAGAUCUACAGAAUCAGCAUCUGAAUUUUAAUUCAGGUGAUUCACGUGCAGGUGAUUUGAGAGCUCAUUGAAGUCUGAGAAGCACUAUACAGAUACACAUCCCUUGUCCUUGUGUAGAGGUACAUCUGAAACAGGCCUGUGG